ACCCAAGUGUAAAACCCACCAAAGAAAUAAGCGCUGGAUGACAUGUGGCAGAUUUUCCAACUCUCCAGGAAAAACUUCAGAUCAACUUGUUUCUCUGGAAACUACUCACAUCCGGGGGCUGUCCCUGUCCCCUGGGACUCAUAAACGUUCCUAUCUUCAAGGCACAGUUUAAAUCCUGGCCCAGCAAAGAGAAGGGCUCUGGACCUGAGAUCAUCCAUCAUGGACAACCUCUCUGCCAAGAAAAGCCCAGGGCUACUUCCUUAGGAAGGGUCUUUGGACCAGGGCAUUUCAGCAAGAAGGGGAAAAUUGGACAUGACUGGCACUUAAACAAACCCAACAGGUGCAGACUGUAAAUUGGCAAAGUGACAUCAUCAGUAGAAAAUCAGACUACAGAAAUCGAGAAGCUUGGCAUAGCCCUUCUCUUUCCAGUCCACUUGACCUGGUGCUAACCACACAACUGCCUUAAGCCUUAAUUUUCUCAUGGAGAUGGAAAUGGGUUAUUGGGAAAUUCAAAUCAGAUAAUUUACGUGAAAAUAUGUUAUAAUCUCUGAGAUGUAAAGCGUGACCACCAGAGUUUAAAAAGAAUAGAAGCAAGAAGACAAGCUGAGUCACUAACUUGCCAGGGAAGUGAACACACUCCAGGGAAGAAAUUCACUCAAUGGUGAGUAGAAAAUGCACCACGUUCAAGACUUUUUUUUUAUUAUAACAUCCAACAUCUUUGACAAAUUACAAAUAGAACAUAGUGGUUGAUUAAGUAAGCGGUGCUAUGGUGAUGGUAAAAGCUAUCCACUAAUCUUUUCAUAAAAGACAAAUGGCAAAGUGGGGAUUUCUUUUAACAAAGAAUCAAGAGGGCCUUUAGAAACUGAAGAAUCAGAUUGUAAAGUCGGAAGCAUUGGUCUCUGUAACUGUAAUCUCCUUUCUUAAAGCUAUGUUUUCAAAGACUUGCUGGUUGGCAGACAAGCAAAACUCAGAGCAUAUUCAUGAAAGAACGGACUGAGGACUUGCAAAGACUUUGGAGACAGGAGACCUGUGUCCUGUUCUGCUCCUGACUGGCAGGGUGAUACAAUGGUACUUGUUUCCCCUCUCUAGGCCUCCAUUUUCUCAGCCAUAAAACUCUGUCUAUAGUUGAGGACUAAUUC
rnacentral:lncRNA from 1 species